GGCCCCAUAGCUCAGUUGGUCAGAGCAGCCGGCUCAUAACCGGUUGGUCCCAAGUUCAAGUCUUGGUGGGGCCACCA
rnacentral:tRNA from 1 species